GAUGAACGCUGGCGGCGUGCCUAAUACAUGCCAGUCGAGCGAACAGACGAGGAGCUUGCUCCUUCGACGUUAGCGGCGGACGGGUGAGUAACACGUAGGUAACCUACCUAUAAGACUGGGAUAACUUCGGGAAACCGGAGCUAAUACCGGAUAAUAUUUCGAACCGCAUGGUUCGAUAGUGAAAGAUGGCUUUGCUAUCACUUAUAGAUGGACCUGCGCCGUAUUAGCUAGUUGGUAAGGUAACGGCUUACCAAGGCAACGAUACGUAGCCGACCUGAGAGGGUGAUCGGCCACACUGGAACUGGGACGCGGUCCAGACUCCUACGGGAGGCAGCAGUAGGGAAUCUUCCGCAAUGGGCGAAAGCCUGACGGAGCAACGCCGCGUGAGUGAUGAAGGUCUUCGGAUCGUAAAACUCUGUUAUUAGGGAAGAACAAACGUGUAAGUAACUGUGCACGUCUUGACGGUACCUAAUCAGAAAGCCACGGCUAACUACGUG
rnacentral:rRNA from 1 species